rnacentral:rRNA from 1 species
GUAGGUGGCAAGCGUUGUCCGGAAUUAUUGGGCGUAAAGCGCGCGCAGGCGGGGUUUUUAAGUCUGACGUGAAAGCCCACGGGCUCAACCGUGGAGGGUCAUUGGAAACUGGAGAACUUGAGUACAGAAGAGGGAAGCGGAAUUCCACGUGUAGCGGUGAAAUGCGUAGAGAUGUGGAGGAACACCAGUGGCGAAGGCGGCUUUCUGGUCUGUAACUGACGCUGAGGCGCGAAAGCGUGGGGAGCAAACAGGAUUAGAUACCCUGGUAGUCCACGCCGUAAACGAUGAGUGCUAAGUGUUAGGGGGUUUCCGCCCCUUAGUGCUGCAGCUAACGCAUUAAGCACUCCGCCUGGGGAGUACGGCCGCAAAGGCUG